rnacentral:rRNA from 1 species
AGUGAACGCUGGCGGUAGGCCUAACACAUGCAAGUCGAACGGCAGCACAGUAAGAGCUUGCUCUUACGGGUGGCGAGUGGCGGACGGGUGAGGAAUACAUCGGAAUCUACUUUUUCGUGGGGGAUAACGUAGGGAAACUUACGCUAAUACCGCAUACGACCUACGGGUGAAAGCAGGGGAUCUUCGGACCUUGCGCGAUUGAAUGAGCCGAUGUCGGAUUAGCUAGUUGGCGGGGUAAAGGCCCACCAAGGCGACGAUCCGUAGCUGGUCUGAGAGGAUGAUCAGCCAAACUGGAACUGAGACACGGUCCAGACUCCUACGGGAGGCAGCAGUGGGGAAUAUUGGCCAAUGGGCGCAAGCCUGAUCCAGCCAUACCGCGUGGGUGAAGAAGGCCUUCGGGUUGUAAAGCCCUUUUGUUGGGAAAGAAAAGCAGCAGGUUAAUACCCCGCUGUUCUGACGGUACCCAAAGAAUAAGCACCGGCUAACUUCGUG